rnacentral:rRNA from 1 species
AGAGUUUGAUCCUGGCUCAGAACGAACGCUGGCGGCGUGGAUUAGGCAUGCAAGUCGAGCGAGAAAGCGGACUUCGGUCCGUGAGUACAGCGGCGAACUGGUGAGUAACAGGUGGGUAACGUUCCCUACAAGUUCGGGAUAACUUCCAGAAAUGGGGGCUAAUACCGGAUGUGACCUGGCCUCAUAAGGGGCUUCGGUUAAAGGCACGUCGCUUUCGGGCGGCGUCUGUCGCUUGAGGAUCGGCCCGCCCCCGAUUAGCUUGUUGGCGGGGUAAUGGCCCACCAAGGCUACAAUCGGUAGCUGGCCUGAGAGGGUGGUCAGUCACACUGGGACUGAGAUACGGCCCAGACUCCUACGGGAGGCAGCAGUCUAGGAGCAUCCGCAAUGGACGAAAGUCUGACGGUGCGACGCCGCGUGUGGGAUGAAGGUCUUGCGAUUGUAAACCACUGUCAGCAGGGAAGAAGGCCCGUAUGGUGAAUACGGGUUUGACGGUACCUGCGGAGGAAGCCCCGGCUAACUACGUGCCAGCAGCCGCGGUAAUACGUAGGGGGCAAGCGUUGUUCGGAUUUACUGGGCGUAAAGAGUGCGUAGGCGGUUUAGCAAGUCUGGCGUGAAAUCUGCACCGCUCAACGGGCAGCGUGCGCUGGAAACUGCUAGGCUCGAGGACGGAAGAGGAGAGUGGAAUUCCAGGUGUAGCGGUGGAAUGCUCAGAUAUCUGGAAGAACACCGGUGGCGAAGGCGGCUCUCUGGUCCGUAUCUGACGCUGAGGCACGAAAGCCAGGGGAGCGAACGGGAUUAGAUACCCCGGUAGUCCUGGCCGUAAACGGUGAGCACUAGGUGUGGGGGGUAUCGACCCCCUCCGUGCCGUAGCUAACGCAUUAAGUGCUCCGCCUGGGGAGUACGACCGCAAGGUUGAAACUCAAAGGAAUUGACGGGGGCCCGCACAAGCGGUGGAGCAUGUGGCUUAAUUCGACGAUACGCGAGGAACCUUACCCGGGCUUAAACUGUGGAGUAAACCCCUGGAAACAGGGGCUGCUUCGGCAAUUCCAUAGAGGUGCUGCAUGGCUGUCGUCAGCUCGUGUCGUGAGAUGUUGGGUUAAGUCCCGCAACGAGCGCAACCCUUGUCGUUAGUUGCCAGCAGGUCAAGCUGGGGACUCUAACGAGACUGCCGCGUUAAGCAGGAGGAAGGUGGGGAUGACGUCAAGUCCGCAUGGCCCUUACGUCCGGGGCCGCACACGUGCUACAAUGGUCGGUACAACGGGUUGCGAAGCCGCGAGGUCUAGCUAAUCCCUAAAAGCCGGCCCCAGUUCGGAUUGGAGUCUGCAAUUCGACUCCAUGAAGCCGGAAUCGCUAGUAAUCGCGGAUCAGCAUGGCGCGGUGAAUACGUUCUCGGGCUUUGUACACACCGCCCGUCACACCACGAAAGCUGGCUGAUCCAGAAGUCCGUGAGCUAACCCUUCGGGGAGGCAGCGGCCGAAGGAUUGGUUGGUGAUUGGGGUGAAGUCGUAACAAGGUA